rnacentral:rRNA from 1 species
ACUCCUACGGGAGGCAGCAGUGGGGAAUUUUGGACAAUGGGCGAAAGCCUGAUCCAGCCAUGCCGCGUGUGUGAAGAAGGCCUUCGGGUUGUAAAGCACUUUUAUCGGGGACGAAAUCCGGAAGGUUAAUACCCGUCCGGGAUGACGGUACCCGAGGAAUAAGCACCGGCUAACUACGUGCCAGCAGCCGCGGUAAUACGUAGGGUGCGAGCGUUAAUCGGAAUUACUGGGCGUAAAGCGUGCGCAGGCGGUUCGUUAAGUCUGAUGUGAAAGCCCCGGGCUCAACCUGGGAAUGGCAUUGGAUACUGGCGGGCUUGAGUGUGGCAGAGGGGGGUGGAAUUCCGCGUGUAGCAGUGAAAUGCGUAGAGAUGCGGAGGAACACCGAUGGCGAAGGCAGCCCCCUGGGCUGACACUGACGCUCAGGCACGAAAGCGUGGGGAGCAAACAGGAUUAGAUACCCUGGUAGUC